rnacentral:misc_RNA from 1 species
GAUGAAGAACGUAGCGAAAUGCGAUAAGUAAUGUGAAUUGCAGAAUUCAGUGAAUCAUAGAAUCUUUGAACGCACAUUGCGCCCCCUGGUAUUCCGGGGGGCAUGCCUGUUCGAGCGUCAUUUCACCACUCAAGCCUCGCUUGGUAUUGGGCAACGCGGUCCGCCGCGUGCCUCAAAUCGACCGGCUGGGUCUUCUGUCCCCUAAGCGUUGUGGAAACUAUUCGCUAAAGGGUGUUCGGGAGGCUACGCCGUAAAACAACCCCAUUUCUAAGGUUGACCUCGGAUCAGGUAGGGAUACCCGCUGAACUUAAGCAUAUCAAUAAGCGGAGGA